rnacentral:rRNA from 1 species
CUACGUGCCAGCAGCCGCGGUAAUACGUAGGGCGCGAGCGUUGUCCGGAAUUAUUGGGCGUAAAGAGCUUGUAGGCGGUUUGUCGCGUCUGCUGUGAAAGGCCGGAGCUUAACUCCGUGUAUUGCAGUGGGUACGGGCAGACUAGAGUGCAGUAGGGGAGACUGGAAUUCCUGGUGUAGCGGUGGAAUGCGCAGAUAUCAGGAGGAACACCGAUGGCGAAGGCAGGUCUCUGGGCUGUAACUGACGCUGAGAAGCGAAAGCAUGGGGAGCGAACAGGAUUAGAUACCCUGGUAGUCCUAGCUGUAAACGAUGAUUACUGGGUGUGGGCAUGAAGAGUGUCCGUGCCGAAGCUAAUGCGAUAAGUAAUCCGCCUGGGGAGUACGGCCGCAAGGCUGAAACUCAAAGGAAUUGACGGGGACCCGCACAAGCGGUGGAGCAUGUGGUUUAAUUCGACGCAACGCGAGGAACCUUACCAGAUCUUGACAUCCUG